UGUAAAUUUAAAUGUUAAUCCAAAGGGGUACAGCCCUUUGGAAAUAGGAUACAACCUUUACUAGAGAGUAAGCAUAAACUAAUAACCAUAGUUGGCCUAAAAGCAGCCAUCAAUUAAGAAAGCGUUCAAGCUCAACAAACUAUACUUAACUAAAUAUAAUAAAUAUACUCAAACUCCUAACUCUACACUGGACUAAUCUAUAUUAAUAUAGAAGUAAUACUGUUAAUAUGAGUAACAAGAUUUAAAUCUCCAAGCACAAGCGUAUAUCAGAACAAAUACUUAACUGAUAUUUAACGGCCAAAUAAAUUUAACCUAUAAUAAAAUACUUAUUUUUUUACCGUUAAUCCGACACAGGUGUGCACUUAAGGAAAGAUUAAAAGAAGUAAAAGGAACUCGGCAAACACAAACCCCGCCUGUUUACCAAAAACAUCACCUCUAGCAUUACUAGUAUUAGAGGCACUGCCUGCCCAGUGACAUUUGUUUAACGGCCGCGGUAUCCUGACCGUGCAAAGGUAGCAUAAUCAUUUGUUCCUUAAUUAGGGACUUGUAUGAAUGGCCACACGAGGGUUUAACUGUCUCUUACUUCCAAUCAGUGAAAUUGACCUUCCCGUGAAGAGGCGGGAAUGUAAUAAUUAGACGAGAAGACCCUAUGGAGCUUUAAUUUAUCUACUCCAAUAGAAUAACCAAUAACCCACACAGGAAUAACACUUAAUUCUAAUUGGAUAGAAAAUUUCGGUUGGGGUGACCUCGGAGCAUAAAACAACCUCCGAGAAUUUCUACCAAGACUAACAAGUCAAAGUACCACACACUUAAUUGAUCCAGUCUAACUGAUCAACGAAACAAGUUACCCUAGGGAUAACAGCGCAAUCCUAUUCUAGAGUCCCUAUCGACAAUAGGGUUUACGACCUCGAUGUUGGAUCAGGACAUCCUAAUGGUGUAGCAGCUAUUAAUGGUUCGUUU
rnacentral:rRNA from 1 species